rnacentral:rRNA from 1 species
GAUGAACGCUGGCGGCGUGCCUAAUACAUGCAAGUCGAGCGAACGGACGAGAAGCUUGCUUCUCUGAUGUUAGCGGCGGACGGGUGAGUAACACGUGGAUAACCUACCUAUAAGACUGGGAUAACUUCGGGAAACCGGAGCUAAUACCGGAUAAUAUUUUGAACCGCAUGGUUCAAAAGUGAAAGACGGUCUUGCUGUCACUUAUAGAUGGAUCCGCGCUGCAUUAGCUAGUUGGUAAGGUAACGGCUUACCAAGGCAACGAUGCAUAGCCGACCUGAGAGGGUGAGCGGCCCCACUGGAACUGAGACACGGUCCAGACCCCUAGGGGAGGCAGCAGUAGGGAAUCUGCCGCAAGGGGCGAAAGCCUGACGGAGCAACGCCGCGUGGGUGAUGAAGUUCUUCGGAUCGUAAAACUUUGUUAUGAGGGAAGAACAUAUGUGUAAGUAACUGUGCACGUCUUGACGGUACCUAAUCAGAAAGCCACGGCUAACUACGUG